UUAACGCUGGCUGUGUGCCUAAUACAUGCAUGUCGAGCGGAGUUCUUCGGAACUUAGCGGCGAAUGGGUGAGUAACACGUACUUAACGUGCCCACUAGAUUGGAAUAACGCUGAGAAAUUAGCGCUAAUGCCGGAUACUUAUUAAUUUCGCAUGAAGUUAAUAUAAAAGGAGCAAUUGCUUCACUAGUGGAUCGGGGUGCGUAACAUUAGCUAGUUGGUAAGGUAAUGGCUUACCAAGGCGAUGAUGUUUAGCGGGGUUGAGAGACUGAUCCGCCACACUGGGACUGAGAUACGGCCCAGACUCCUACGGGAGGCAGCAGUAGGGAAUUUUCCACAAUGGACGAAAGUCUGAUGGAGCGACACAGCGUGCAGGAUGAAGGCCUUCGGGUUGUAAACUGCUGUUAUAAGGGAAGAAAAAACAAAGGAGUGGAAAGCCUUUGUCUUGACGGUACCUUGUCAGAAAGCAACGGCUAACUAUGUGCCAGCAGCCGCGGUAAUACAUAGGUUGCAAGCGUUAUCCGGAAUUAUUGGGCGUAAAGCGUCUGUAGGUUGUGUGUUAAGUCUGACGUCAAAACUUGGGGCUCAACCCCAAAUCGCGUUGGAUACUGGCACGCUAGAAUUGUGUAGAGGUUAGCGGAAUUCCUAGUGAAGCGGUGAAAUGCGUAGAUAUUAGGAAGAACAUCAACAUGGCGAAGGCAGCUAACUGGGCACAUAUUGACACUGAGAGACGAAAGCGUGGGGAGCAAACAGGAUUAGAUACCCUGGUAGUCCACGCCGUAAACGAUGAUGAUUAGCUGAUGGRGACCAUCGGCGCAGCUAACGCAUUAAAUCAUCCGCCUGAGUAGUAUGCACGCAAGUGUGAAACUUAAAGGAAUUGACGGGGAUCCGCACAAGCGGUGGAGCAUGUGGUUUAAUUUGAAGAUACGCGUAGAACCUUACCCACUCUUGACAUCUUCCGCAAAGCUAUAGAGAUAUAGUCGAGGUUAACGGAAUGACAGAUGGUGCAUGGUUGUCGUCAGCUCGUGUCGUGAGAUGUUCGGUUAAGUCCUGCAACGAGCGCAACCCUUGUCCUUAGUUAGAUGAUCUAAGGAGACUGCCCGAGUAAUUGGGAGGAAGGUGGGGACGACGUCAAAUCAUCAUGCCUCUUACGAGUGGGGCCACACACGUGCUACAAUGGACGGUACAAAGAGAAGCAAAACGGCGACGUCAAGCAAAUCUCAAAAAACCGUUCUCAGUUCGGAUUGUAGUCUGCAACUCGACUACAUGAAGUCGGAAUCGCUAGUAAUCGUAGAUCAGCUACGCUACGGUGAAUACGUUCUCGGGUCUUGUACACACCGCCCGUCACACCAUGGGAGCUGGUAAUGCCCGAAGUCGGUUUUGUUAACUACGGAAACAACCGCCUAAGGCAGGACUGGUGACUGGGGUGAAGUCGUAACAAGGUAUCCCUACGAGAACGUGGGGAUGGAUUACCUCCUUUCUACGGAGUACAUUACCUAUCUAAUAGGAUACUUAAAGACUAUUUUUAUUAAAAUAAUUAAUAAUUGUUACAAUGACACAUGUACUAUGUUAAUAGUCCAUAGAUAUAUCUAGUUUUGAGAGAACUUUCUCUCUUGUUCUUUGAAAACUGAAUAGUAAAGAUAUUACAACGACAUCAAAUAAAUAAAUUAAAUUGGUUAAUUUGUUUUGAUUGAUACCGAGUAAUUAUUACAAUGUAAUAAUUUAUUGAAAUGUCUUUGAAUAUACAUCAACAAUAGGUCGAAUAUUGUCAACUUUUAAAUAAGUAAGAGUUUGUGGUGGAUGCCUUGGGUCUGGAAGUCGAUGAAGGACGUGAUUACCUGCGAUAAGCCUCGUGGAGCUGGAUAUAAGCUACGAAGCGGGGAUUUCCGAAUGGGGAAACCUAACUAGAGUAAUUUCUAGUUGCUAUACGAUGAAUAAAAUAGUCGUAUUUGCGAGACACGUUGUGAACUGAAACAUCUUAGUAGCAACAGGAAGAGAAAAUAAAAAAUGAUUCCAUUAGUAGCGGCGAGCGAAAGUGGAAGAGCCCAAACCAACAUUAGUUGGGGUUGUAGGACUAUCUACAUGAAGUUACAAAUCUUUGUUAUAGCAGAAUUAGUUGGGAAACUAAAGCAUAGAGGGUGAUACUCCCGUAUGCGAAAUGGCAAGGACUUCUGAUAGUAUCCUGAGUAGGGCGGGGCACGUGAAACCCUGUCUGAAUCUGCCGGGACCAUCCGGUAAGGCUAAAUACUAACCAGACACCGAU
rnacentral:rRNA from 2 species